rnacentral:lncRNA from 1 species
UUUUUUUAAAAAAACCUAAGUCAACUGACACAUUAUUUAAGCAGUAUCCAUGUGGUUUGAUCGAAGAUUAUAUGGUUAACUACAGCUUCACCACCACUUUGGGACUGAAUACCUCUCAACGGCAGACCGAUAGAUCUGAGUCCCAUUUGUCCAAUCCCUGGAAUAGACACAUGGAGCUUAUGCAUCUGAGAUCAAUAUGCUAGAGAAGCUACCAUUCCUGGAUGUACUCACAAACAAGGCUAGUGCUGGAAGAUGCCUUGAAGGUCAUGUGGUCUGCUCAGUGCAAGACAGUCACAGGUACUCUUGUCAUAACAACCAAUAUCAUCUGCAAUACUGUUUUGGAGUUGUGAGGGGGCUUGGAGAUUUCAGAUUGGUGGUCUUUAUUGCUGCACAUCGCAAUGAACACACUGUGCUGGUUCAGCAUUUUCAUGUGCUGCAUCGCAAGGAACUUCUGUUUGGAAUGAAUUGUAGACGCAUCAGAACACGAAAUACACUCAAGUGGGCUCCAACGACAUUUUCCAGUACUUAUGAAUGGUUAGUGGGUAGUAAUUUGCCUGUUGAAUUUCUUUUCGUGUGAGUAUUCUCAGUGGAUGCAUAUUUAUUUUCAAGGCUUUCGAUAUUUGCAGAAAAAGAAACAUUGACUUGAUUCUACAGGAAUAAAAAAGUUUGGCUUCAAGACCUGAGUCUUUGG